GGGGAAACCCAGGCUAAUACCGCAUACGUCCUACGGGAGAAAGGGGGCUUCGGCUCCCGCUAUUGGAUGAGCCUAUGUCGGAUUAGCUAGUUGGUAAGGUAAUGGCUUACCAAGGCAACGAUCCGUAGCUGGUCUGAGAGGAUGAUCAGCCACAUCGGGACUGAGACACGGCCCGAACUCCUACGGGAGGCAGCAGUGGGGAAUAUUGGACAAUGGGGGCAACCCUGAUCCAGCCAUGCCGCGUGUGUGAAGAAGGCCCUCGGGUUGUAAAGCACUUUCAGCGAGGAAGAACGCCUAUCGGUUAAUACCCGGUAGGAAAGACAUCACUCGCAGAAGAAGCACCGGCUAACUCCGUGCCAGCAGCCGCGGUAAUACGGAGGGUGCAAGCGUUAAUCGGAAUUACUGGGCGUAAAGCGCGCGUAGGUGGCUUGAUAAGCCGGUUGUGAAAGCCCCGGGCUCAACCUGGGAACGGCAUCCGGAACUGUCAGGCUAGAGUGCAGGAGAGGAAGGUAGAAUUCCCGGUGUAGCGGUGAAAUGCGUAGAGAUCGGGAGGAAUACCAGUGGCGAAGGCGGUCUUCUGGACUGACACUGACACUGAGGUGCGAAAGCGUGGGUAGCAAACAGGAUUAGAUACCCUGGUAGUCCACGCCGUAAACGAUGUCGACCAGCCGUUGGGUGCCUAGAGCACUUUGUGGCGAAGUUAACGCGAUAAGUCGACCGCCUGGGGAGUACGGCCGCAAGGUUAAAACUCAAAUGAAUUGACGGGGGCCCGCACAAGCGGUGGAGCAUGUGGUUUAAUUCGAUGCAACGCGAAGAACCUUACCUACCCUUGACAUCUACAGAAGCCGGAAGAGAUUCUGGUGUGCCUUCGGGAACUGUAAGACAGGUGCUGCAUGGCUGUCGUCAGCUCGUGUUGUGAAAUGUUGGGUUAAGUCCCGUAACGAGCGCAACCCUUGUCCUUAUUUGCCAGCGAGUAAUGUCGGGAACUCUAAGGAGACUGCCGGUGACAAACCGGAGGAAGGUGGGGACGACGUCAAGUCAUCAUGGCCCUUACGGGUAGGGCUGCACACGUGCUACAAUGGCCGGUACAAAGGGCUGCGAGCUCGCGAGAGUCAGCGAAUCCCUUAAAGCCGGUCUCAGUCCGGAUCGGAGUCUGCAACUCGACUCCGUGAAGUCGGAAUCGCUAGUAAUCGUGAAUCAGAAUGUCACGGURAAUACGUUCCCGGGCCUUGUACAC
rnacentral:rRNA from 1 species